rnacentral:pre_miRNA from 1 species
CAACUACUCCCUCUAUCCCAAAUUUCUUGUCUUAGAUUUGUCUAGAUACAGAUGUAUCUAAUACUAAAAUGUGACUUGAUACAUCCGUAUCUAGAGAAAUCUAAGACAAGAAUUUUGGGACGGAGGGAGUACUUU